UACGUAGGGUGCAAGCGUUGUCCGGAUUUAUUGGGCGUAAAGAGCUCGUAGGCGGUUUGUCGCGUCGGAUGUGAAAACCCAGGGCUCAACCCUGGGCCUGCAUUCGAUACGGGCAAACUAGAGUGUGGUAGGGGAGACUGGAAUUCCUGGUGUAGCGGUGAAAUGCGCAGAUAUCAGGAGGAACACCGAUGGCGAAGGCAGGUCUCUGGGCCACUACUGACGCUGAGAAGCGAAAGCAUGGGGAGCGAACAGG
rnacentral:rRNA from 1 species